AUAAGAACUCACGAUCUGUUUGCAGUUGGUUUUCAGCCAGUCGGCACAUGAUCACUCGAGUAAAUUCUCCGCAAAAGUCUUGGUAGGAAAUCCUACGGAUAAAAACCAGAUUAGGUAUUGUGGAUCAGCCUGGCAAGUCCCGAGAUCGCAAGCAAGCGAGUCUGAUCAGACCCAGCCCCAGGCUGAGACCGCUGAGUCGAUGAAAAGACAGGCCUUCUUCAGAAAGUAUCCGGGGCCUAGGCCUAGAAAUUCUUGUCAUGGGAAACACAACUGAGGAAUGCGAAAAUUUGACCUACAGGUCUUUGUUAGUCUUUUUAAAUACUUCACAUCUCGGAAGACAAUACUAUACACUUUUAAAGCUUCAUUACACAAUACCGGUAGUUCUCUAUUUCCUUUUUUUUUUGUACAAUUCCAUUCUAAUUUCUAUUGAUAUGGGGGCACAUUCAAUAUCUGUAACAACACAACAAUCAAUGUUAGUAUUUUUUUUCAAACAGACAUACAGUGCAUUAUGUAAUGUUUGGCAUAAGGUGUAGUAGUAUUUUUGGUGUGAAUCACACCUAGGAUAACCCAAUAAAUCCGAAGACUUGUUUCCAGUGGGGUCCUUCUGGUGGUGAAUUGGUCAGUACACCAGAAGACAACUCCUUACUCUUUUCCGAAGACAUUUUAUAGAGUAGCAAUAACCUACUGGUAUCAACGUUAAUCAGUCAUUUUACAGUCAUAAAUUCUGAAUAAGCUUUUUUAACCAUACCAACACUGA